rnacentral:rRNA from 1 species
GAUUCUGGCUCAGGACGAACGCUGGCGGCGUGCUUAACACAUGCAAGUCGAACGAGGUAUAGCAAGUGGAAGCUUCGGUGGAAACAUGCUAUUACCGAGUGGCGGACGGGUGAGUAACGCGUGAGCAACCUACCCUGCAACGGGGGACAACAGUUGGAAACGACUGCUAAUACCGCAUAAGACCACGAAACCGCAUGGUUUAGAGGUAAAGGAUUAAUUCGAUGCAGGAUGGGCUCGCGUCCCAUUAGAUAGUUGGUGAGGUAACGGCCCACCAAGUCAACGAUGGGUAGCCGACCUGAGAGGGUGAUCGGCCACACUGGAACUGAGACACGGUCCAGACUCCUACGGGAGGCAGCAGGUGGGGAAUAUUGGGCAAUGGGCGAAAAACGCCUCGACCCAGCAACGCCGCGUGGAGGGAAGAAGGUCUUCGGAUUGUUAAACCUUUGUCCUAGUGGGAACGAAACAAAUGACGGUACCAUAGGAGGAAGCUCCGGCUAACUACGUGCCAGCCGCCGC